rnacentral:rRNA from 1 species
AUUGAACGCUGGCGGCAGGCUUAACACAUGCAAGUCGAGCGGAGUGGCGAACCGGUGAGUAAUGUAUCGGAACGUGCCCAGUAGCGGGGGAUAACUACGCGAAAGCGUAGCUAAUACCGCAUAAUAUUGGAGCGGCCGAUAUCGGAUUAGCUAGUUGGUGGGGUAACGGCUCAACAAGGCGACGAUCCGUAGCUGGUUUGAGAGGACGACCAGCCAAGCUGGGACUGAGACACUGUCCAGAUUCCUACGGGAGGCAGCAGUGGGGAAUAUUGCACAAUGGGCGCAAGCCUGAUGCAGCCAUGCCGCGUGUGUGAAGAAGGCCUUCGGGUUUUAAAGCACUUUCAGCGAGGAGGCGUUACUCGCAGAAGAAGCACCGGCUAACUCCGUGCCAGCCGCCGCGGUAAUAC